GGAUGCACGUAGAGUUUUGAUUUCUAAGGGGCAGGUUCGAGUCCUGUUUUUUUAGGAG
rnacentral:tRNA from 1 species